GUCUACGGCCAUACUACCCUGAACACGCCCGAUCUUGUCUGAUCUCGGAAGCUAAGCAGGGUCAGGCCUGGUUAGUACUUGGAUGGGAGACCGCCUGGGAAUACUGGGUGCCGUAUGCU
rnacentral:rRNA from 1 species